ensembl:lincRNA
CUCGACUGAUGUUGAAAGUUACCCACUCAGUGAUUAAGACAGAGUGGCAGGCGCAGGAAUUACUUAGGGCUGAUACUGUUAACAGUUUCCCUUUACCUGGGGGGCUACGUUUUUGUGAAAGUGCGGCUCACUGCAGAAAUUGCAGGUAAGAGCCAGUAGGAGUUCAUUUUGGCAGGCCUCUGGGGGAGUUAGGUCUGCCAUCUGACCUCUCACUCUGACUCGGGCACCCUGCUUUCCCUCAGGGUUAGCCUUCACAUUUUGCAAGCUGCUUUUCCUGCAGGUUCAUUUCUCUAGGGACAGGUUUCACCAGAGCCUUUCCAUGCCAGUUCUUUAGCAGAGAUGGCAGGUGGGUUUGCAGAGAAAUGAAGCAUCAUUUCUUCUCCCCUGGCACCUGCAUUCCUAACCCUCAUUGUAGCUUGUAUGGGCAAAAAGUUCUGGGCAACUGGCCCCUACAGUUUUGGGGGAAGCUCAAGGAACGCUAAUCCUUGCCCUUGCUUCCAGAUGCACUUUUUCUGUGGAACCCCGUCAGUCAGUUCUCACUUCAUUGGUCAUGUAUAUAGCAGGUGGAAACAGCCAGCCAGCACGAGACCUGGAAUCGUGUCAUGUUCAAAGCUUUCCCCAGAGUCUUGACCUUGAUGUUAUAUCCUUGUCAGUCUCAUGAUUAAUGAUAAUCUCUUUUCAUCUAGCACUGAUGAAGCUUGCUGGGCUUUGCGUGGCAUCAGAGGCAGCUUUUUGGAUGUGAUACUGGGGUUGGCACACCUGUAUGAUUAGGGUCUCCUUUCUCUGCCAGGGCAGGAAGCCAGGUUUUCUACCAUCACAAGCAAUGCUGCAGGAGCGUCCUUGCCUAUAUAUCUUAGCGUGUUUGCACCAGCCACUUUUCCUACAGAAGAAAUCAGAGGAUCUCUGUGUUGAUCAACAUUACGAAUUUAUUCUCCUAAAAAGUUCUGUAUUGGUAGCUGCUUUUAAUAUUUCAAAGUGCAUAGAUAGAAAUUGGGCAUCGUCAGCUAUAGGUGCACUGGUUCACGAAAACAUGAAUUUUCUCAGUGUUUAGCCACAGAACUUGGGUAUUUCAUGCCUAUGAGAUAAAUAGCGGGAGAUAAUUAGCAGCUUUAUGACCACUGCAUAUUUCAAAAGUAUUGGGCCUGUUUAGAACAAAUUGUAGAAGAAGGCCUUGUUCAUGAAAAGGCCGGGAACUACUACUACUAGUAGUACUACUUAUGCUGGGAAUCACUACUACUAGUACUACUACUAGACCACCUUUCAGGAUUAGAUUACAGAAUUUAGUCAUACUUAUCACAGUGCUCCCUUGGCCAGGUGCUGACAAGAGCUGGGCUGGGACUGAUGGGGCAGUCAUGAAACCGGGAGUCAAGUCAGAGCCCUGACCUUGACUUUGUACUGUGUAAUUGUGGGCCAAGCUCUUCACUUCCCUGGGUUUGCGUGUUUCUCUUUGUAGGAGGGAAGUUAUCAAGCCCUCAAUUCCUCUGAGUAUAUUCCUGAGGGAGAAUAAAUUUAAGAUUGAGAAAGUGAGUUAAAUCUUAUUUAAAGAAGGUAGGAGAGAAUUUCAGGAUUGAAACAGCUCUUCAUUAUAUGCUGAGGGGUGUGUUACAUUGUCUCUGAAAUUAACCAGCUUGGACUAUCUACUCUUCAAAUUAAGGUGGUAGUGGUUUUGUUUUGUAACAGGCAGGACAGAAUGUUCCUAAUUUUGUCAACCCUGCGGUUUGAGAUAGGAAGUGUGUUUUAGUUUUGUACACUGGAACAUGAGAAGCCCAGAGGUGGGAGGUGUGGUGCCUUGGGGUGUCCUUAGAGACCCCUGUUUUAUUUUGCUCUUAGCAUUCUCUGUCCAGUUGGGUAAACAUGCAGCAGCUGGUCCCCUGUUUAGCUUCAGAGCAGCUUCCAAGCAUCAGUUCAUUUUUAGCUUUAGGAAGGGUCAGAGGACCUUUGGGGGAAGCGACUAAUGGGCUGGAAGUUGUGGACAAAGCUGCCCCAGAAGUGCAGGUAAUGAGGCAGAUCACGGGGGAUUAAGC